GAACAAUAUCAUGAAACAAACUAGCAAAAGAGUGAUCAUUCACAUGCAUUCUCAAAAGCAAAAUCCAGCAAGACAGAUAAUUUCCAAGAUGAUAAACUUACCUAGCACUAUGGAGGAGCUCCUCAGGAUUGGUGGUGAAAAGUUUGUGGGACAUCAUCCUACAAAAGUAAUCAACGAAGAGAAUGCAGAAAUUGAUGACAUUAGCAUUAUUCAUGAUGGGGACCAUUUAUAUCUCCUAGAGGUUUAAGAGUAACAACAGGACUGUCAGAGAGGCUAUGUCCUAACCAAGAUUUGAAGGCCAACACAUCAUUCCCUCACAUUUGAAUGUGUAAAUUUGAAUGUUGAUGAUAAACACUAGAUCAUGCCAGUCUACAAUGACAUUUUCUUUGAUUCCAGAAACUAAUUGGAUGGCCAGUAAUAGACUACAUGAACUGUGCUUGGUUCUUGAACA